rnacentral:ncRNA from 1 species
GUAAAAGCUAUGAACAGAAGAGUAAUAUCAAUGGAACGCAGAGAGAAUUCCUGGCUGGUGUAAAGGAAUGGGGAAGUUGAUAUGAAUAAAGACUGGGAGCUGUAUUUUGGAUCUAACGUGAUAAAAUAACGUGUUGCCGCGUUAAGGCUUAAUGAGGUCUACUUAUGUAGAUGAAUAAGGGUGGUACCACGGUUAACUCUCGUCCCUAGC